CUCUAAUGAGACGCAAUAACUCAUUACUGUGUGGAUACAUUAACUUCUGCUUAAGCUUUAUAAUGCAAAAUAGCAUACUGGGCUUGUUCUGUGCACGCUGAACAUGGCAGUCCAGUUCAUCUUCGUAAACUCACAUAAAUCAAAGAGAACAGGCCCAUGGAAAAGCUGAGCUUUGUCACACAUUGAGCCUUCCAGAAUGAUGGUCAUGAGGAGCCUAUGGAGCUAUAUUGUGUUUUGACUCGUGGAUGGGAGUUCAAGCUGAGAAGGCAGAGAAAACACACAUACCUUAUUUCUUUCAUAGACCCAGCAUUUGGCCAGCAGAAUGCUCCUGAAGAUCUUUCCCUACCUGUUGCUUGCAAUGUGCUUGUUUGCCGCAAGGACUGGCCACUUACCAGCUAGCUUACUCUGUUGUCUGGACUGAGACCCAAAACUUCACUUCAGACUGGAUUUGUCAAGAAAGUUCCUUUAUACAGAGAAGUGGCAAGUAAAAUGCACUAUAUGGGGGACCAAGAAGCACAUGCUUGAGUCUACCUUUCAAGGAGCCUGACUCCAAAUUCUUUACCCAUAGAUAUAACUGUUUUUUUCUUUUAUCUACCAUCUUCUACCAUCUGGCAAUUUAGGUUGGUUAACUAUUACAGGCAAACAUCAGGUACAUGUUCAAGCUCCUAUUAUUAUCAGUGUCAUUUUUUGUUUGGUUCAUGCUUGAUCCAGAUUAUUUUUUAAAUUUCUUUUUGACAUAUCAGGUUCUGUAUGUUUCCUCUUAUGCUAUUGCCAGUGUCCUGUAGGUGUCUGGACUUGGUAAUCCUUUGGACUAAAUGCCCAUCAUUAGCCUAUUAGAUCUGUCAUGCUGUUGAACACUACACUGCUUCAGGUGCAAUAUUUAAAUUUCCUGUCUUUCAGACUUAGAUAGCACUGUUUCUGCCCAUUGCAGGGAUCUUUCAGGUAACCAGAAAGAGUUAUGCUAUCUGUACUGUUCUUUUCUUAUUCUGCUGUAUUACCACCUUCCUUCAUGCUUUUCUUAGUAAGCAUUGAAGACUAGUUAUUGAUUAAGAAGUAAUGAUGUUUCAGCAUCUGUCAGCUAUUUCUCUCCAGUCACCAUGGUCUCAAUGGGUAGGAGAUACUUGGUUGAUCUGCUGUUGUCUUAGAAGUUUCUACACUAACCCAAAUUUCUGGCUGUGAGCCACUUUUUGAACCCAUGAGACAUAUCUUUGAGACUAGUAUUCAUUGAAAUAACAUUUUUUGACUCAUGGUUACUGCUGGCAAAUUAAGGAGUAGAGCUAUUUGCUAAAUCUGUAGCUACAUGUUUAUUUUUCUUUACACAGCUGAUCUUCUUUUAACCUCCCAAAUGUUCCUCUAGUUUUAUGUGAACUUGAUGUUGACCAGCCUUUUCUUUAGUUUUUGUCAUACACAAAAAAUGGCAGAA